rnacentral:rRNA from 1 species
AGCAGCCGCGGUAAUUCCAGCUCCAAUAGCGUAUAUUAAAGUUGUUGCAGUUAAAAAGCUCGUAGUUGAAUUUCGGGGUUCUACCGUUGGUCGGGCUAUUGUCUGUACUGGCGUGUAGAAUUUCUACCUUCUGGGGAACUAUCAUGUUAUUAAUUUAGCGUGGUAGGAAACCAGGACCUUUACCUUGAAAAAAUUAGAGUGUUCAAAGCAGGCUUAUGUCUGAAUACAUUAGCAUGGAAUAAUAAAAUAGGACGGUGGUCCUGUUUUGUUGGUUUCUGAAUCACCGUAAUGAUUAAUAGGGAUAGUUGGGGGCAUUAGUAUUCAAUUGUCAGAGGUGAAAUUCUUGGAUUGAU